GACGGAGGAUGCAAGUGUUAUCCGGAAUCACUGGGCGUAAAGCGUCUGUAGGUGGUUUAAUAAGUUAACAGUUAAAUCUUGAGGCUCAACCUCAAAAUCGCAGUCGAAACUAUUAGACUAGAGUAUAGUAGGGGUAAAGGGAAUUUCCAGUGGAGCGGUGAAAUGCGUAGAGAUUGGAAAGAACACCGAUGGCGAAGGCACUUUACUGGGCUAUUACUAACACUCAGAGACGAAAGCUAGGGUAGCAAAUGGG
rnacentral:rRNA from 1 species